UGAGGAACUAUAUUGCACAGAAA
rnacentral:piRNA from 1 species